rnacentral:rRNA from 1 species
CCCUCAGUCUCUGACUGUUGGGACCUGUGGCGUAUAGGCGCAUCCGUCCAGCACUGGUUGCUACCCUAAGUUCCCUUGACUGGGACUAUAAUCCAAAGGAGGUGUCAGACCUGUAAGGGUGGCGUCGGUGUUGGUUGGUUGAUGCCUGGGAGUCGGAUUGCCUGAGAUCGCAGUCCAAAGAAGGUGGUAAACCUCACCUAAGACUAAAUAUGACCAUGAGACCGAUAGCAAACAAGUACCGUGAGGGAAAGUUGCAAAGUACUUUGAAGAGAGAGUUCAAGAGGACGUGAAACCGCUCAGAAGGAAACGGACAGAGCUGACGAAACUUGGUGACAUUCAGCUGUUGACUGGCUCUCUUCCGCUCGGAUCGACUUCACAGCGAUCCGUGUCGGUCGAAGCUCGUUGAUAGUGCAUUUGUUACCAGUAUGCGUCGAGAGCGACGCUUCCAUGUUCCGACUGGCCGGGUGUUGGCCCUGGGUACUCACGUAUCCAGGAAGACCUGCCUUACCGAAUGGAUAGAUUGGAGGUGUCGUUUCGUGUUCCGCCAAAGGAACGGUUUCCGGUGGUUGAUCAUUGUCAUUUGUUCCGGUCGCAUGCGAUUGGGCACUUGGCGACUGGUCUCCACCGGAGACUGUGACUGGGAUACGUAUCUCGAUGUGAAAGUCGGCCACCUGUCCGACCCGUCUUGAAACACGGACCAAGGAGUCUAUCGCGUGCGCGAGUCAUUGAGUGGUAAACUCAUUGGCGGAGUGAAAGCAAAGGUGUCCUAGCGAUUCUGAUACGUGAGCCAUCGUAUGGUGGUGCAACGUAGCCCCGUUCCGACUGCUUGCAGUAGGGCGGCGGUAGAGCGUACGUGACGGUACCCGAAAGAUGGUGAACUAUGCCCGAGCAGGACGAAGCCAGAGGAAACUCUGGUGGAAGUCCGAAGUGGUUCUGACGUGCAAAUCGAUCAUCAGA